rnacentral:lncRNA from 1 species
AUGCUACCAGGAGUUCUUCAGCCAGUGCAUUCUCCAGGGAGCCACAACAUGCAGCUGGAACAGCAAAAAGCUGGAAUUGAAAGCUAUGCUGACUUUCAUUGGGAAGUCUUCAGCUGUCUAGUGAAGAAGUCAGAGCUCCAGCUGUUUCCUCCACAUCUGGGCUCUCUAGUGCUGCUAGCUGCUGUUUGUGAGGUCCCAGGUGGAGGAAGGAAUGGAGGUGGAGCAGAGCAGCACUCUGAGAAGGAGUAAGGAGCUGUGGCCAAAGCCUUGAAGAAACUCAAGGACGUAUCUCCUCACAUUAGCAACAAGGAUGGAUUAACUGGAUGAUGGAUGAGAGGAUCUCUUUGAAUCUUGGUUUGGAACAUGAAGAAAAAGAAGCAAAUUUUUGUUUAUUUUGAGGCUUGGAAAAAUGAACUUGUUCGUUACAUCCCCACUCGAAGUCUUUUCUUGUUUGCAUAACUUUGCAG